GAAACACUGAUUGUGACAUGUGAAUGUGCUCCAUGAGAAGAUGGCAGGUAUCGGAACGUGUGGAGGAAACUGAAAAGUAAAGACCGCCUAAAGAUUGAAACUACCAUUCAGGUAAGUUCCAGGGGACAGAAACAAGCUCUCUGAAGACUCUCAUUAAUCUUUGCUGUCCGAAGCUACCUUCUCCAUCUCCUGCUCACCUGGGAGGACUCCCUGGAGGAAGCCA
rnacentral:lncRNA from 1 species